rnacentral:piRNA from 1 species
UAAGGUCUCAGUCCUAAGAUGGAAAGACA